rnacentral:rRNA from 1 species
GUGGGGAAUAUUGGACAAUGGGCGCAAGCCUGAUCCAGCCAUGCCGCGUGAGUGAUGAAGGCCCUAGGGUUGUAAAGCUCUUUCACCGAUGAAGAUAAUGACGGUAGUCGGAGAAGAAGCCCCGGCUAACUUCGUGCCAGCAGCCGCGGUAAUACGAAGGGGGCUAGCGUUGUUCGGAAUUACUGGGCGUAAAGCGCACGUAGGCGGAUAUUUAAGUCAGGGGUGAAAUCCCAGAGCUCAACUCUGGAACUGCCUUUGAUACUGGGUAUCUCGAGUAUGGAAGAGGUGAGUGGAAUUCCGAGUGUAGAGGUGAAAUUCGUAGAUAUUCGGAGGAACACCAGUGGCGAAGGCGGCUCACUGGUCCAUUACUGACGCUGAGGUGCGAAAGCGUGGGGAGCAAACAGGAUUAGAUACCCGGGUAGUCC